UGUUUCGGCUAGGGGGCCAUCCCGGCUUACCAACCCGAUGCAAACUGCGAAUACCGGAGAAUGUUAUCACGGGAGACACACGGCGGGUGCUAACGUCCGUCGUGAAGAGGGAAACAACCCAGACCGCCAGCUAAGGUCCCAAAGUCAUGGUUAAGUGGGAAACGAUGUGGGAAGGCCCAGACAGCCAGGAUGUUGGCUUAGAAGCAGCCAUCAUUUAAAGAAAGCGUAAUAGCUCACUGGUCGAGUCGGCCUGCGCGGAAGAUGUAACGGGGCUAAACCAUGCACCGAAGCUGCGGCAGCGACACUCAGGUGUUGUUGGGUAGGGGAGCGUUCUGUAAGCCUGUGAAGGUGGCCUGUGAGGGUUGCUGGAGGUAUCAGAAGUGCGAAUGCUGACAUAAGUAACGAUAAAGCGGGUGAAAAGCCCGCUCGCCGGAAGACCAAGGGUUCCUGUCCAACGUUAAUCGGGGCAGGGUGAGUCGACCCCUAAGGCGAGGCCGAAAGGCGUAGUCGAUGGGAAACGGGUUAAUAUUCCCGUACUUGGUGUUACUGCGAAGGGGGGACGGAGAAGGCUAUGUUGGCCGGGCGACGGUUGUCCCGGUUUAAGCGUGUAGGUGUGUGUUCCAGGUAAAUCCGGUUCACUUUAACACUGAGGCGUGACGACGAGGCACUACGGUGCUGAAGCAACAAAUGCCCUGCUUCCAGG
rnacentral:rRNA from 1 species